GCUGGCUGGUGCUUCUGCAUGCUGAGCAGUUAAAAUGCAAUUUGCUGGCUGCCGGGAACAGGUUGCUCCUCUUUAAAAGAGGGCUGAAUGAGAUAACAGUGUUCUAAGAGGAGAUUUGAAGACGUUUUCCUUUUGGACAAGUGCUAAAUUACCCGUAUGACAAACUUCAGUGCACAAACCAACCAUUAAAUGAUGGGGUCAAGAAGAAACUUCUCCUCUGGACAGACAAGUACAUAACAUCCUGGUGUCUGUCAGCUUCUUUUGAAGCGUCUGGUACUGACCAUGGCUGGAAAAGGGCAUUGGACUCGAUAGAACAUGGUCUGUUCUAGUGGUUCCUUUGUGCCCAUAAACCUCUAGAGUUUUUGCUGAGGGACUUAUCACUGUGGAAACAAAGUGUUGCUUCCCCUCCACUGACCUUUGAGGAUGGAUCAGACUGCUUCAGAUGCUAGAUCUCGAAAAAUCUAAAGCUUCUAUCUACCAAGUGAAGUCCCAAAAUGGGAUCUACUCAGCUUGCCUUAUCACGGACUUCUCCCCUGGCAACAUCAAAGUUGGGAUCUCAGAUAUAUCUCUCACAGACGUCAAUGCCUCCAUUGUGCAGGUGAAAAACCCAGACAGCGGAGAAAUGGAAGCAAGCUAUGGGACGGUGCUCUGGGAAGACCAGGAGAACAUUCACUGCAUUGCUGAACAUGAAGUGGGAGUAGACAGUAUGAAGGAGAGCGCUGAGGAAGGUGACACAUGCAAGAUAAUGGAGCUGGAUGACAAUUUUGAGACAGACAAUCAGCUAAACCUCCUGUCAUUCACGCUGCUGGGCCUGAGAAUCGUUUUUGUGAAAGGAGUGGCACUUAACCUGCUCCUGACCUUCUGGCUGUGGAAAAGCUAAAGAGUGGAAGGAAAGAGGACAGAUGGAAUCUGGAGUGAUGGGAAUUCCUCAGAGACCUGGUGUCAUCUCUUCACCUUCCCAUGCAGCAGGAAAUAUAAUGAAAUGAAUGGUCCCCAUAUCACCUCUGUAUAUAGGCCUGAUGUAUAAUGAUCUGAUGUGCUUUCACUUAGCAAGUUUUAGAAGGAUCUCACCUACCUAGCCUGGUUUUUCCAUGACCCUCCUCCCUUUCACCCUCCACAGAUUGACACAUUUAUCCUCACAAGCUCCCAGUGUAGGGCAAGGAAUUGCUAUUAACUAGAGCUGUCAACAAAUGUGCAUGAAAACAUUUUUCGAUGGAAAACUGGGUUUCAAUUUUUUUGGCAGAAAGUCCCCAUUUUCCUAGAAAAAAACUUCAAAUUUUCAUCAGAAACCGAAAAUGUUUGGCUAAAAACUGAAUAUUUUUCAGUUUGGUUUUUUUACAGUUUUUGGCUACAAGAUUUUUCAGUUUUUGUCUGAAAAUUUUCAGUUUUCAGUUGUCAAACACCAAAACCAACUUUUUUUAACAAUUUUUUUCCAGUGCAAAUUUCAACAAAAGUGAAUAUUUUUUUAGUCUUCAUUGAAAUUUUCUGCAGAACAAACCAGCUUUACCAUUAACCCUAUUUUGAAAAGGGGAAACUGAAGCACAGAGACACUGAGGCUGAGAUUUUUCAAAGCCUAAGGGCUUUGGGCACCUGUUUCCCUUUGAAAUCAGUGGGAAUUGGGCAUUAAAAUCCCCUAGGUUGAAUUUUACACUCUCUGCCACACACUGGGAUUUUCAAAGGUGCCUUGCAGAAUGAGGCACCCAUCUCCACUUGAAAUUCAAUAGCAUUUAGGCAGCUAGUUCCUUUGAAAAUCCAGCCAACGCAUUUCUGAUCGUAGUGGGUUCUUUAAGUUGACGCUAGACAAAUUCAGCCUGGCAAUAAAGUGCACAUUAACAGUGAGGGUAAUUAACAAUUGGACUGUCUUAACUAGGCAUGUGUGGAUUUCCCCUCGCUUGUGCUCUUUACAUCAAGACCGGAUGUCUUUCCAAAAGGCCCGCUGUAGUUCCCCUAGACGUUACGGGCUCAAAGCAGGGAUCAGCGGGCAAAACUCUCUGGCUUGUGUUAUAGGCAGGAAGUUGGGCUAGACCAGAAUGGUCCCAUCGGGCCUCUGUGACUUGAAGAAACUUGUACACAUGACCCCAUGUGUCUCUAACCGUCCCUGCUCUGCAGAAUUUGAGGCCAGAUCCCCGGGUGUAGAAUUCUUCCAGCAAUUCUGGAAGAGGUGCUUUAGCCAAGCACCAGAUGUGCUUGAGUCACAUGCAGGUUCUGGGCCCAUUGCAGGGGAGAUGUAAUAGCCAGGAAGUCGGACUAGUCUUUCCUGCCAUAAACGCUAUGAAUUUAUACCAGCUCUGGCCUGAACCUAGCUUUUAUGUUUCAAAUCUGCAUUUAUACCGACCUUUAGCUCUGUUAACCUGAUCUCCCUAUUUUCAGCCUUUCUAAAUUGUGAUAUUUGCUCAUGUUUAUGCUUUGGAAAAGAUUGUAUCUUUUUUUUUUUCAUUUCCUGCCAAGCUUCUUUGUAUCGCAUUGAGGAGAUGAUAAUGUACUCAAAUUUCCUUUCUGGUCUGCCCUGGGCUGCUAUUAAAGAACUUGGCUGAUCGUGAGAA